ensembl:lncRNA
CGGAGCCGCUAGGGGCGGACAGGCUGAGCACUGCUCCAUCCUUCUCUUAGCUCCAUGUCCUCCACUGAUUUUGCUGUCAUCCAAAGGUCCAAAAUGGUACCCCAAAAAAAUCAACGAGACACUUGUUCCAUGCAGCGGUGAGUGUUCUUGGAUGGCAGCGCUCGAGACCGGGGUUCAAGUCCUGGCACACUCGAUCAUUCUGCCUGAGCGAAGUCAUGUGGUCUAAGUGACAAACAUCAUUCAGACCAGUGAGUGACAGAGUGAAGUCUGAAGAUUAAGCUUACUACCAUGUGUGUUAAAUGUCAUAUGUAGCCCGUCUCUAUGACAUCAAAUCAUAUAAAAGCCCUACUAUGGUCGGUCUCCACGGGAACCAGUCGAUUUCAUGAGCCUUACAAUGUGAAAUUAUUCAUUAGGUCAAGUAUAACUUUCAACUAUACACAGGUCUGGUCUCCGUGGUGCAGUGGAGAGAGCACACGACUCUAGACCCUUGAGUUCUGGGUUCAAGUCCCGUCAGUAUGUCUCCUUUGAACUUUUUAUUUUAAAAAUUGUAAGGGAAGGGGGGGGGAACUUUACUUUCCCUCACUAACGAUUUACAAUAAUGUGUCCUACUAAAAAUUAGCAAGAGGAUAUACAUGACAUUAAAAUGUAUGUGUGUAUUUCUAUUAUUUCCCUUAUGUUUUUUUUCAUGACGACCAAUAAGAAACGACAGUGUUACCCCUUAUGUUUUUUUUCAUGACGACCAAUAAAAAACAACAUGUUACCCUUAUGUUUUUUUCAUGACGAC